GAUGAACGCUGGCGGCGUGCCUAAUACAUGCAAGUCGAGCGAACAGACGAGGAGCUUGCUCCUCUGACGUUAGCGGCGGACGGGUGAGUAACACGUGGAUAACCUACCUAUAAGACUGGGAUAACUUCGGGAAACCGGAGCUAAUACCGGAUAAUAUAUUGAACCGCAUGGUUCAAUAGUGAAAGACGGUUUUGCUGUCACUUAUAGAUGGAUCCGCGCCGCAUUAGCUAGUUGGUAAGGUAACGGCUUACCAAGGCAACGAUGCGUAGCCGACCUGAGAGGGUGAUCGGCCACACUGGAACUGAGACACGGUCCAGACUCCUACGGGAGGCAGCAGUAGGGAAUCUUCCGCAAUGGGCGAAAGCCUGACGGAGCAACGCCGCGUGAGUGAUGAAGGUCUCCGGAUCGUAAAACUCUGUUAUUAGGGAAGAACAAAUGUGUAAGUAACUAUGCACGCCUUGACGGUACCUAAUCAGAAAGCCACGGCUAACUACGUG
rnacentral:rRNA from 1 species